rnacentral:rRNA from 1 species
CAGUCGCCGCGGUAAUACGUAGGGUGCGAGCGUUGUCCGGAAUUAUUGGGCGUAAAGAGCUUGUAGGCGGUCUGUCGCGUCUGCUGUGAAAACCCGAGGCUCAACCUCGGGCCUGCAGUGGGUACGGGCAGACUAGAGUGCGGUAGGGGAGAACGGAACUCCUGGUGUAGCGGUGGAAUGCGCAGAUAUCAGGAAGAACACCGAUGGCGAAGGCAGUUCUCUGGGCCGUAACUGACGCUGAGAAGCGAAAGCGUGGGGAGCGAACAGGAUUAGAUACACCGGUAGUCCCUGUCUCUUAUAC